UACGUAGGGUGCGAGCGUUGUCCGGAAUUAUUGGGCGUAAAGAGCUCGUAGGCGGUUUGUCGCGUCUGCCGUGAAAGUCCGGGGCUCAACUCCGGAUCUGCGGUGGGUACGGGCAGACUAGAGUGCAGUAGGGGAGACUGGAAUUCCUGGUGUAGCGGUGAAAUGCGCAGAUAUCAGGAGGAACACCGAUGGCGAAGGCAGGUCUCUGGGCUGUAACUGACGCUGGAGGAGCGAAAGCAUGGGGAGCGAACAGG
rnacentral:rRNA from 1 species